rnacentral:rRNA from 1 species
AUUCCUCGCUCCUGUGUAAAACUCCAAACUCCCUAUCUUCGUAGACGUCGGGCAGUCCGGAUUGCGGGGUAAGCUUGUAAUCCGUAAGGGAGACAACCCAGCCCAUGGUUAAUGCCCCCCAAUGUAGGCUAAGUGUCAACACUGAAUGAAGUCCUAGGUCAAAGACAACUGGAAGGUGAGCUCAGAAGCAGCUAUCCUUUAAAAAGUGCGUAACAGCUUACCAGUCAAGAUUUAGGGCGCAGAAAAUGGACGGGGCUCAAGCCUACUGCAGAUACCAUGGCGCAC